CAAGUUUUGUAGUUUCCUAAUCUAUGGCGGAUUUUUAUUGUUUCAAAAUCUAUGGCAAUUUUUUGCAAAUGGAAAAAAAAUGAUGCAGUUCAUUUUCGACCAAUGCCUUGCCUAAAGAAAGAGGAAAUAUACGACAACGGUAACAUGUCUAUGAACAUUUGUGAAAUAAACAUUCCAUAAUGGUCAACCAAAAAAGGUCGUAAAUUAUAAAUUCAUAAACCUUAAUACAGACUUCAAGAUGAAAUGAUGUGCUCUGUAAAAAAUAAACAUUUUUUAAUCUGUGCAUGGUAUCUGUUUAACCCAUUCAUUAAACCAACUAAUAAGUCCUUUAACAAACAAGAAGACCGCUUUUUAUUUAAAAACAUAUAAAAAAGUAACAAAUAAAAAUCAACAGUUUGAAUUUUCAAAUAAUAUCUAUUUCAGCGAUAUCGUUAAUUCAUCUUUUUUAUUUGAUGUGGAUUUAAAUCAAAUUUGUAUCCGGUAAUUUGAUCUUUCAAUUUAUAAACUUUGCCAGCCGUAGACCGUAGACGACUACUACCAAAACUCCUUUUCAAAAAUAUGCGAUACUGAAAAAAGCGGUGCCCUUAUCAUGGGCAUUGACAGCACAUCUUGUCCCUCUUCGGAAUAGUAGGUCACAUCUUCCUUUAAACCACUGGCAAAUUUUUGUCAGGAAAAUAACUUCAUCUUGAAUGGUGUUCACAUCUAUGGGUUCCGCCAUCGUUGGCGGCGGCGAAGAUGUUAUAUGGCAUUAUUCAAUUGUGACGUUAUAUGUUACUCUCUCCCACAGAUCUGCCAUAGAUUUGGAGAAAAAAAAUCUGCCAUAGAUUUGAGUUGUUUGGCGGUUGUAACGUCACAUUUACCAUAGAUUAGGAAUCUGCCAUAGAUUUGGAACCCGCC
rnacentral:lncRNA from 1 species